rnacentral:rRNA from 1 species
GACGAACGCUGGCGGCGUGCUUAACACAUGCAAGUCGAACGGAAAGGCCCUGCUUUUGUGGGGUGCUCGAGUGGCGAACGGGUGAGUAACACGUGAGUAACCUGCCCUUGACUUUCGGAUAACUUCAGGAAACUGGGGCUAAUACCGGAUAGGAGCUCCUGCUGCAUGGUGGGGGUUGGAAAGUUUCGGCGGUUGGGGAUGGACUCGCGGCUUAUCAGCUUGUUGGUGGGGUAGUGGCUUACCAAGGCUUUGACGGGUAGCCGGCCUGAGAAGGUGACCGGCCACAUUAGGACUGAGAUACGGCCCAGACUCCUACGGGAGGCAGCAGUGGGGAAUAUUGCACAAUGGGCGGAAGCCUGAUGCAGCAACGCCGCGUGCGGGAUGACGGCCUUCGGGUUGUAAACCGCUUUCGCCUGUGACGAAGAGUGAGUGACGGUAAUGGAUAAAGAAGCACCGGCUAACUACGUG